rnacentral:lncRNA from 1 species
AUGACGAUCACGCAUCCAGCUACAACCCUUGACUCUAACUGGACUGAGCUCCAGGUUCAUGUCAAGGUCAAAGCAGGUGCUAUGUCAUUAGGACAAACUCCAUCAACAGAUCCUGGGGUCAAAGGUCAGAGUGAGGGCCCUCGUGUUCAGGUCAUACACCUUCUGCUGCUUGUGUGCACUGUCACUUGGAGCUUUUCCUGUUUGUCUGCUGCUGUCAAACCUUGGCUCACGGGGGCAGUUUUACAGGCUGGAGCAGCUGCAGGAAACAUCUUUCCAGUGAACGGCUGUUUGGCUGCAGGUUAUAAAAGACUGCAGAGAGAAAGCGAAGCUCAGGCUGGUUCCGGCUCUGCAGCGUCCACCUCCUCUGAUCCAACAACAACGACACAAAGGUACCAACCAACAUUUCUAAUGUUUGCUUCUGAGGCCAAAGCUGUGAUAAAACAAUUGGCAGCACACGGAGACCUGAUCUCUAACUCCAACCUGAACGACCGACUGGACUUGCUCAAACUGGUGCGGGUCACUGAGGGACGAUUAUGGCCCGUUCCCAAGUAUAAGACCAUGGAGCUCUCUCUGCCAGAGCUGAUGGACGACUCUGACUUCUCUCCAGGUUUUGAGGAGGAGGUGCUGAUGAAGGAGUUUACCACAAGAGUAGAGAUGUGUGGCAGCAGUAGUGUUGGAGGAGGAGACGGUGCCGUGGGCGAAGCUGAAGUCAGUGCGAGCGCAGACACUGUGGACGGGCUGGAGACUCCGGUCAGCAUGAUGUCCAAGAAGGUGAAGCUCAGAUCUGUGAGGGACUGGUUCGGCAGCAGGAAAAUCAAAAAGAACAAGGUGCAAAUGCUGAGGCUGAAGGAAAGAGACAAGCUGAUGUUUGUCCACCAGACGGUCUACAACACCGGCCCCGUCAGGCUCCACAGGAAGUCCAAGAUGGACGGCUCUGUGUCUGCCUCCUGCCAAAAGCUGCUCAACCUGUUUAUGAAGGGUAGCUGGAAGGAGGAGACAAGCUUCACUGUGCCAGAAAAAUCAACUUUUGCCUAUGGGCUCAUGGAGAUAAGAGGUGUUCAAGAAGAGAAGCUUGAAAUCUCAUGUGAACCCUGGAUGAAUCAAAGUAUGUUUGACAGGCUCAUCAACAGCGAUACCUCAUCAGACAACAGUGCAAACUCUUCUGUGAGCCUGCAACAAGUGAAAGACGGUCUGGAGAUGAAAGUAGCUGCACUGCAGCCGCUGGCAGAUGUUCAUAACUCAACCCAAUGUGAACUCUUGCAAACACUGAGAGAGCUGCUGAAGAACAGAGAAGCUCUCACACAGCUGGAGCAAAUGGUGGAUGGGCUGCAGGUGGACGGUCAGAACCAGCUGGCAGAGCCACUGCCCCCUGCCCUGAAGGAGGACGGGGAGCUCCGCUGGGCGGCCCAGCUCCUCUGUUCCAGCCCCCAGACACUGACAGAGCUAAGUGAGCACUGGGAGAGACCAGAGCUCCCAGUAGGAGUCCUGCUGGAAGUGCUGGCUCUGGUCGUACGCGGACUGGGCCUGAUGCAGAACCUGCUGAGCAGCGGGACAGACCAGAGCUCCCAGUAGGAGUCCUGCUGGAGGUGCUGGCUCUGGUUGUACACGGAGUGGGCCUGAUAAAGAACCUGGUUUAGUCUUUCCAGUAGAAGGACACGUGUGUUUUCCGUUUUUUUCUGAAUUUCUGUUGUUACAGCUACAGAACAAAUUCCUGAUUUGAUCCUUUUUUUAUAUUAUGUAGUUCUUUUUGUUUUAUUGACCUCUGUUGUCACAGCUGUUAUUUGGCCUAAAUGAAAUUCUCAACAGACAUUUUUGGCUUCUUUCAUCUUUCUGGCUCUUUGUUAGUAACAGCUUUCGUUGUUGAUGUAAUCUCGUCCUGUGGAGAAAACAAGGUUUCAUGCUAACCUGUAAUGUCUGCUGUUCACUGGGACGAUCGUACCUCUGAGAUUUAUGUCCACGCAGUUCUCUCUGGUUCUACCAUUGGGAUGAGUCGUACCCAUCUCACCGACACAAACCUUUCACCGCUGAUUCCUAGCCACUUACCCUUCUGAAGAAAAACUGGGUCAGCACUAGUGCAACAGCAACCAAACAGCAGACAAAGACUGAGACACUCUUGCAUCGGCGCUUCCUCCCCAGGAGUUGGUGUGUCAGUUAGUGGCUCUGACAAUGAGCUGUCUGAUGAAGUGGUUGUCACAGUCCAGGUCAUUUAGCCACUGCACUCAAUCAUUUCCGGUUUUAUUUUGUACCACUUCCUGUUUAGUGCCCAUGUUUUCUGUUCCAGCUUUACCUCCGGUUUUAGUUUGACGCACCUGUGCCCUGUUACUAAUUGCUCACCUGCUAACUAUCCAGCCGUCAUCUCCAUUUAGUAUUUAAGCACCACCCCUCAGCCCUGCACCUUGCCAGAUUGUCUUUGUGUAUGAAUCAGCAAUCCAGCGUUAUCCUCAUGAUCUUGAACCUGUGUAUGACCUCGCUUCUCCUGACCCAGAUUCUCGUCUCAUCUCUGAUCCUGCCGUGCCGUGAGUUUGACCCUAGCCUGCCUUGACCACCGCUUGUCUAAACCCUGUCUGUACUGAACCUGCCUGAUCUGUGUAUCGACCCUUGCCUGCCUGACCACGAGCGUGAAUAAACCCUGUUGUUCACUGAGCCUUGUCUCCGCU